GCAGAACGCGAAGAACCUUACCAGGUCUUGACAUCCCGCUGACCGGCCUAGAGAUAGGCUUUUCCCUUCGGGGACAGCGGUGACAGGUGGUGCAUGGUUGUCGUCAGCUCGUGUCGUGAGAUGUUGGGUUAAGUCCCGCAACGAGCGCAACCCUUGAUCUUAGUUGCCAGCAUUCAGUUGGGCACUCUAAGGUGACUGCCGGUGAUAAACCGGAGGAAGGUGGGGAUGACGUCAAAUCAUCAUGCCCCUUAUGACCUGGGCUACACACGUGCUACAAUGGACGGUACAGAGGGUCGCAACCCCGCGAGGGUGAGCUAAUCCCAUAAAACCGUUCUCAGUUCGGAUUGUAGGCUGCAACUCGCCUACAUGAAGCCGGAAUCGCUAGUAAUCGUGGAUCAGCAUGCCACGGUGAAUACGUUCCCGGGUCUUGUACACACCG
rnacentral:rRNA from 1 species